rnacentral:tRNA from 7 species
GGCAGUGUAGCUCAGUGGUAGAGCGAUCGCCUCGUCAAGGCGAGAGACAACCGUUUGAUUCGGUUCGCUGCCACCA